UUUUUGAAGAUUGCAAACCAGAUGAGGAGGAAAUGGCAAAGGCAACUGGAAAUGAUCAUCCUGUGAAUUCUGACCCUGAACCUGGUGAUUCCCACGCCGGUGAGGAAGCAGAGAACCCAGCAAGUACAGAGCAUGAUGCCAGUGAAGGUGAGGUUGACUGUCAGUCAGGGAGAAGGAUUAAAUCUUAUUAAUCUGAAGUCUUUUCACAGAAUUGUUUUUCCCUUUCCCUUUCCUUUGGCUGUUAAUCCUCCUUGUGCUUUUUUCUUUCCUAACUUGUAUAGAACUGGGUGAUGACUAGCUGGUUUCUGUAGUCAUGUAUAAUUAAUGCUUUUUUGGCAUUUAAAUGGUUCUAGGCAAAGACCCCAGCCAUGGUAAACUGGCUGUGAGUCAGGAAAAUAGCCAUGGAAAGCAGAAACAUAGUGAGGUUUCCUGUGCUUCCCGGUAGCGUGGGGAAUCCUCGGGAAGCGCUUUGGUUCCCAGGGGCAGGAAUUCCCCAGUGUAAUUAAAGAAUCCACGGGAAGCAAUUACCCAUUUUAUACAGCUGAGUGUUCUUCCUCCCGUGUGUGCGUAUUUUACAUGAGCAAUUUGCCACCUAUUUCUGACUUUCUGAGUGUCGCUGUCAAGGUUACAGGUGUUUCACGUGCACACCUGAGCUCCCUGCAGGCAGGAAGGGAGGGAGGCAGAGCAGGCAGGGCAGGCAAGAUUGGCAAAGAUGAAAGCUGGCCUUGCAUCAACAUUUUUUCUUACAUUCAUUAUGCCAGAUGCUAGGACAGCAGCACUAGAGAUGUAGUCAGAGCCCAGGGGUGUGAUGAGAAGAAGCACAGCAAGUUUUCUUCUGGUCCCCAUGCUGGUGUCCCUCAUUGCUGGGCAGAGACAGUACCUUUAACACUAACUCUGUAAAACAUGUAACAUUGACACAGUGCUGAGUAAAACCAAUGUUUUAUUUUUCCCUAACAGGACCAGAUGGAAGUUUCUCGGCAGAAGGGAGGAGAAGCCUUGAUGUGCAGAAGGCAGCAGGACAAGAAGUACAAGAAGGGCAGGUGGCAGGCCAGAGACAAGCCCGGGAGCAGGAUGGUGCUGCCACGGGAAGAGAUGCUGGCAGCAAAGAGUCUGGAGGAGAAGGGAUACGGGAGAGGGAUUUACUGCCCCAGGAAGAGACAGGGUCUGCGCUGGAGGAAUCCACACCUGAGGAAGGCACUGUGGCAGAGGAACAUCCAAAAGGGAAGGGGACAGAAGAGAGAGUGGAGUCGAGCACAGAGGUGUCACCUGGGGAGCAGGAGGUGCUGGUGGAGGGGACGGAGAUCAAGGCAGCACUAGGAGAGCUGGCACCUGGGGUAGAGGGGCCAGCUGGGGCACUGCCAGGCUGGGAGACAGACAGAGCCGUGUCCGAGGGGCAGGAGGGGGAUGGGGGGGUCCCUGAGGAGGAGGCUGUGGAGAAAGGCCCCGAGGGAGUGGCAGGGCCACCAGCAGAGGAGGAGGUAGGUGAGGCAGUGCCAGAGGCAGGGGAGUCGGUGUGGGAGGGAGGGUCCACAGGGAAAGGUGCUGUGGUUGGUGCUGUGGCAGAUGGAGAGGAGGCUGUGGAGGAUGCUGACCUGGCAGGAGAAGGUAUUGCCGGGGUUGUUUGCCCUGAAGAAGGGGCUGUUGAGGAAGACAGUUCUGAAGGGCAGGAGGCAGUGGAGAAGCCUGGGGCUCUCCUGGAAGCAUUAGGGGAUAUGGAAACAGGAGAAGCAAUGCCUGGAGGGGAAGGGUUUGUAAAGCCAGAUAAGUUUUCCCAGCUGAAAGCAUUAGAGGAAGAGUGGAUGGAGAUGGGGAAGGCUGCCACAGGAGCAGCAGCAUCUGAACGUGGCCAGGUAUGCAGGGUAGGAGGGAACGUUCUCCAAAGAGUGGAGGACAUGAUGGAGGUGUCAGUGGAGCCUGGCAAGGGUACUGUGCUGGAAGUGGCACCUGGGUUAGGGCCACUGGGGGGUGCUGGGGACGAUCCCAUCAGUGAAGGGUCAUCUCAGGUAGAGGAGACCCCGGCAGUGCAGGAGAAGGAGGGUGCAGUGGAAGCACUUCGGAGUGGAAACCCAUCUGUGGGCAGCAAAGCAGAGACAGAGAGAGCCAUGGAAGGAAAACCCAAUGGAGGGGUGGCGGGAGGGUCUGCAGAGGCGUCCACCCAGGGGUUAGGAGGUGGAGAGGAGGCCACAGGUGGAGCAGCAGGUCCAAGGGAGCCAACAACUGGGAUGGAGGGGUGGCUGAGGUAUGGAAAAGAGAGAGGAAAGGGGAGGCCUUCUGGGGAGGGGGUAGUGGGUGAUGCAGCAGUGCCAGCCCUGGGGUUGGACGUGAGCCAGGCAGGGGAGCCCAGGCUGGUGGCCAUUGCUGUGAUGGGUGGCCAGGCUGGGCGAGGGGCUCUGGCCGAGGAACUGGCCAGGGAGCCAGCGCUGGCUGAGGUGGUGGUGGCAGUGGCUGGGGAUGGCAGGGUGGGCAGAGGGACAGUGGUACAGGAGGGGGUGACAGAAGGAGUGCUGGGGGCACAGAGCGGGACAGGGGUGGCAGUGGCAAAGGGGAUGUCAGCCAAGGGAAGGUGGGCAGCCAGAGAGUCUGGGAGGGACAGGGCAGGGGUGGCUGAUGGAGCUGUGGCUGGUGAGCAAGGGAUGAACCAGGAGGCAGCACUGGGGUGCGAGGCAAGUGGGCCAGAGCCAGCGGGGGCCAAGGGCCAGGGCGAGGCAGAGUGGGAGUGGGUCACAAUGCAUAUGGUGUCCUCAGGGCACGAAGAAGCCUGUAGAGCAAUGUCCCCUGGGGAACAGCUGACUGCAGAAACCUCCCAAAGCACCCCUGCCCAUGGGGAUGGGGGAAUGGAGCUGAUGGGAAGAGAGUCUGCAGGCGGCGAGGGGCUGUGCUUGGGCACCCAGCCACAGCUGGCAGGUCCUGGGACAGGGGCAGUGGAGGGCAAGGACGGGCAGCAGGAGGGGAUGGAGCAGGCGGGAGUGAAAACAGAGGGAGAACAGCAGGGUCCCUGUGAAAACACGAGAGAGAGCAAGGUAGUGGCUGUCUUGGCAAGUGCAGAGAACUCUGCUGGGGCCGGGCAACAGAGGAAGGACAGUCCCGUCGUCGGAGGGAGCCCAGGAGCUGCUGACGUGGGUGAGAGGAGCCCCAAACCCCGUCAGGACAGUGUAAACCCAGACCCAGUCAUCGUAUCUGCAGAACAGUCCCAUGAUGGGGAAGAAACUCUGCUCUGAGCUUUUUCAGCAGCUCCUCAAUGCUGUGUCCUGUAACAUUCACACAAUUAGCUGUGGGUUUGUGCCAGCUGGGAUGUCACUCCUCUGUUGACUGCGCGAGUACCACAACCACCUGUCACAUUUCACCAUAGCAGCUCCUCCGUGUGCAGCAGACAACUGAAACGAGCCUGUGUUUGCCAGCCCAGGAAACAGUGCUGCUUCAGAAUUAUGAAGACAGUAAUCACCAGGAUUGUUCCACAGUUGUCAUGCUUGUUUUUCCCAAAACCAGAGGAAUACUGGACUGGCUGAACUUUCCCUCCUCCCCCAUGCACUGCUCCUGCAGGCAGGCAGGAGGAUGAGGGCAGAUGUGCUGUGUGUGUUUGUCUGUACAGGGUGCCCAUGUCUGAGUGUAUCUGUCAUUUUUUUGGGGUGUCUUUGCCUUUCUGAGCUGCAGCCUUUUGUCAGUCAGGCUGUGUCCUCACUGCUGUGCAUGGGGCACUUGUGCAUGCCAUUGUUUGAUUCUGGUAAGAUCAUCCAGGGACGUUCAGCAGAGAUGCAAUGGCAGGAUCAGGGGUGAAGGAGGCCUCACAUGAGGGUUUUAGCCUGGGGACUUCCCCACCCCAGAUUAGGGGAGGGUAGCUCUCCUGCAUGCAGAGUGCCCCCUGUGCUGGGGGGCAUGAGGGGCUUCUGUCUCAGGGAUCCACGCUUGCUGUUGGCCACAGUUCAGGGCAUGCUUGGCACUUUGAAAUGUUGAAAGUUGUUAAAUCAGAACAAUUCUAACAAGUAUUUGUAAAUGCAUAAAGCCUGGCCUUUUGCUUUUGGUAGUGUCAGUCAGAAGUGACUUCCUGGCCCAUGGAGCCUGGGCUGAGGCUGCAAGAGGGUGGUCAGUGUAGAGGUGUCUCAGCCUGGCAGUGGCUGCCCUUCUCUACUGCCUGAGGCUCUUCUCAGCUCUCCUGCACCUCUAUGGGCCCACCAAGACCUUUCUGAGCUGGGCACCUGGGGCUGGGUGUGCAGCAGCCUC
ensembl:lncRNA